rnacentral:lncRNA from 10 species
UGAGUCCAGUGGUUUUGCUCAUCUGAAAGCUCCUUCUUGUGCCUAGCUGUACAACAAACUCCCAUGACACAAGUUUACCUAUACAUCAAAUCUGCACAUGUACCACUGAACCUAAAAUAAAAGUUUAAAAAAUAAAAAAAAUAAAAAAUAUGUUAGUAUCAUGGGUAAUAUAUGAGUGAGUGGGACAGCUUGAAUGCCUGCUUAGUAAAAAGUGGAAAAUACGAUUGAAAAAAUAUACUUCUUUCUUAAAUGUUGUUAAAAUGGAAUAAAUGUCAAAAUUUAUCUGCAAAAAAAAAGAUGUUCUAGUAACUUGUCUUUCAUAGUCUUGAUAAGAAAUCUCCUGUCAUUCAAGUUGUUGUCCUUUUAUCUAUAAUGCAUCAUUAUUGUUUUUUUAAUGGCCGCUUUCAAGAUUUUCUUUGGCUUUCAACAGUUUGAUUAUGAUGUGCCUAGGCGUGGUUUUCUUUGAGUUUUUCUGUCAGAGUUAGCACCUGCCAAGACCAGGAAUAAGGACUGGAUGAUUCUUUUUUUUUUUUUGAGAUGGAGUUUCACUCUUGUCAUCCAGGCUGGAGUGCAAUGACACAAUCUUAGCUCACUGCAACCUCACCUUCCCAGGUUAAAGUGAUUCUCCUGCCUCAGCCUCCUGAGUAGCUGGGAUUACAGGCAUGUGCCACCAUACCUGGCUAAUUUUUGUAUUUUUAGUAGAGAUGGAGUUUCACCAUGUUGGCCAGUCUGGUCUUGAACUCCUGACCUCAGGUGAUCCACCCGCCUCGGCCUCCCAAAGUGCUAGGAUUACAGGUGUGAGCCACCGCACCUGGCAGGACUGGAUGAUUCUUGAGUGUGAGCUCUGUGUCAGGCUCAAAAUGAAAAGCACUGUAUGCAUUUAUUUAAUCCUCAGUGGCGUUCUGUGAAACAGAUGGUUUUACACUCUUUGUACAUGAACAUUUAUACAACAUUGACUGUGUGCUAGGGAAUGAAGCUAAAUGCUCUGUUUGCAUGGUUUUAUUUAAUCUUCAGAGCAAUCAUGGGGGAAAGCUCUGCUGUUGUCCCCAUUCUACAGAUGAAGAAACGGAGUCACAGUGAGGAAUUUUAGGGACAAAUUCAUGUCUAAGUGUUGGCGUUGACUUAGGAGAAUUAACUCUUGUUCUUUCAGUUCAGAAAGCAAGUCUUCCAUAUGCAGAGGUAUCUUCCUUUCUGGGGGAGUUAGUCAGUGAGUGACAGGCUCAUGAUCCCCCCUCUUCCAGACCUGCAUUACCAGCAUGUAAUUCAGGGUCAUGGGAUGUUUACUCUGGAGAUUCAGAGAUCAGAUGGGAGAGGAACAGUAGGUGAACGUGAUGAAAUAAUCAUGUCUUUGUAGAAAAAAAAAACCCACUAAGAUGAGAUUUUAGAAUUUUGUGCUCAAUCUUUUCAGGCUAGAAAAAUAACUUCUUCCUGGGGCAGCCUGUCUGACCCUGAGCUUGCCACCUCAUCUGUGCCCAAUUUCCUUCUGCAUUUCCUAUUGCUGUGAUCAGUGCCACCGGCCACUGUGUGACCCAGGCUAGCAACUGGGACAUCAGCCUGGACUUAAUGUCCUGGUUAUGGGUCAGGUGAAGACCCAAACCCCACAUGUCCUUCUUGGACAAGGCUCUGUGGCCUCGAGCAAGCCACUUGACCUCUCUGUGCCUCAGUUUCCUCAUCUGUAAGACAGAGUAAAUUCCACCCACUUUGUUGGAUUGUUCCGUGGGUCUAUAACUUUUUAUGUGUAAAUUCAAUAAAUGUUGGCUAUUUUUCCUUUUUUCUCUUCUAAUAUACAGUCACUCCACCUCUCUCUAUCUCCACUGCCAUAACUAUCCCAGGUCCCCGUCAUCUCCCAUCCAGAUGCUUCCAGGAGCCUCAGGCUGGGCUCCUGCUGCUGCCGGGCCCUGUCCAAUCCUUUCUCCACACCAUGGUCAGAGACAUGUUUCCAUGAUGCUCAGCUUCCCUACACACAGGAGCCCUGUUGAGCCGCAAGGACGGAUGCCCACACAGCCUGUGCACCAGGGUUUCUGGGACAGCUUUAAUCACACAUGGACAGGAGUGGCAGGUAUAUAGUCCCCACACUCACCAUUGUCCUUUGCACCCUGGUCUGGCACACUGGGCUCCAGAAGGACUCCAUGGAUCCCAUCCAUUGGGCUGUGUGGCUUUUAAGCCAUAUGAUCAAAGAAGCACCAGCCCCUCCCCUGGUAUGAUCAGGAGCUGGCAUUCAGCAGCAAUGUUGUGGGCAGAUGCUUGGCCUCCAGCUCCAGUCCACUUGUCUGCAUUUGUCCAUGGGGAGA